rnacentral:lncRNA from 1 species
UGAAGCUCUCUCCAGCUUCUACGCUGCCAUUAACGUCCACGGCUUGGCCUCCGUGUCAGACCUCAUCACUCAAAACUGCUUCUACAAAGAUCUCGUCCUCUCAUCACUGUAGAAUAUAGAUAAACAUAGAAUGUAUAUAUUAAAACAGGUUUACAAAAUAUUUGAACCGGUUUAUACCAUUAAACAAAAUUAAAAAAAAAAAAAUACAACACUAAACCUAAUCUAGAGGCCGCCAUCUUCUUGUUGAUCUCUCCACCGCUGGCAAACUUAACCAAUGAGAUGAAACUUCUCACUCACCUUUCUGGCAAUAGUUUGAAACCAACAACCAUCACUCGGUGGCAAUAGUUCACAUCCUGUAGUCCGUCUGUAAAAGCAGCUGCGUGGUGGGAGACAGCCAUCGACAUUGCGUCCCGAACAGCUCCCACAUCUGUGUCUGAACUCUGAAGCUCUCUCCAGCUUCUACGCUGCCAUUAACGUCCACGGCUUGGCCUCCGUGUCAGACCUCAUCACUCAAAACUGCUUCUACAAAAAGAUCUCGUCCUCUCAUCACUGUAGAAUAUAGAUAAACAUAGAAUGUAUAUAUUAAAACAGGUUUACAAAAUAUUUGAACCGGUUUAUACCAUUAAACAAAAUUAAAAAAAAAAAAAAUACAGCACUAAACCUAAUCUAGAGGCCGCCAUCUUCUUGUUGAUCUCUCCACCGCUGGCAAACUUGAGCGUCAUGCUUCCUCCUCCGCCUUUUCAUCCUGCCUCUUCUGCUGUCUGUUCGUCCAGCUUCCUCCACCUCGCUUCCUCCACCUCGUGAAUUCUCCGUCCUCCUCCAUCAAGCUUCUCUGCCUCCUCCAACUUUCUUUACCAACACAAAAACAAAUCGAAAUCAAAACUCACACACACACACAGAUAGAGAGAGAGAGAGAGAGAGAGAGAGAGAGAGAG